UUAGCCUUAAACACAAAUGCUCAACAAACAAGAGCACUCACCAGAGUACUACUAGCAACAGCCUGAAACUCACAGGACUUGGCGGUGCUUUAUAUCCCU
rnacentral:rRNA from 1 species